GACGAACGCUGGCGGCGUGCUUAACACAUGCAAGUCGAACGGAAAGGCCCUGCUUGCAGGGUCCUCGAGGGGCGAACGGGUGGGUAACACGUGGAUGAUCUGCCCUGCACUUCGGGAUAAGCCUGGGAAACGGGGUCUAAUACCGGAUAGGAGAUAUGUUUAGUGUGAUGGUUGGAAAGUUUUUUCGGUGUAGGAUGAGCGCGCGGCCUAUCAGCGGGUUGGUGGGGUAAUGGCCUACCAAGGCGGCGACGGGUAGCCGGCCUGGGGGGGUGGACGGCCACAUUGGGACUGAGGGUCGGCCCCGGCUCCGACUGGUGGCCGCGGUGGGGAAGCUUGCUCCAGGGGCGCCAGCCUGAUGCAGCGACGCCUCGUGGUGGAUAGCGGCCUUCGGGUUGUAAACUCCUUUCGCUAUGGACGAAGCUUUUUGUGACGGUACCUAGAUAAGAAGCACCGGCUAACUACGUG
rnacentral:rRNA from 1 species